rnacentral:tRNA from 1 species
CUGCCCGUAGCUCAACCGGAUAGAGCACCGGCCUUCUAAGCCGGGGGUUAGGGGUUCGAGUCCCUUCGGGCAGGCCA